CGCACACACAUAUAUAUGUAUGUAUGUGUGUGUGUGUGUACAUGUAUACAUAUAUAUGUGUGUGUAUAUAUAUAUAUAUAUAUGUGUGUGUGCGUUUAUGUGUGUAUAUAUAUAUAAAUACAAGAUGAUAUUGUCCCAAGUAUAAAUAUUUGUCCUUAGAGAAACCAAAGGCACCAUCUCGACGAUGAUACUUCAAUAUUCCAUAACGCUUGACCAAAGUCGUACAUGGUGAUUGAGAAAUUAAUAGUUGUUAAAAGUUUAUUUUUAUCUAUCUAUAACAAAAGCCGAAUAAGUCUUCACAUUGUUAAACGAAUAUACGCUAUAGAUCAAAUUAAAAGAUAACUAACAAAAGAAUUCCAACAACUGAUUCGAAUGUCAUCGAAGGGUGUUCUAUUUUAAACAAAUCAGCCGAAUAUUUCGAAAACUCUGAACUCGACAGACAGAAAUGGUUCAGAUAAAAUUUAUAAGAUUUUCGAGAGGAAAAGGAUGAUGAUCUUGAAUUACGAUCAUUCAUCAAUAUCAUAUAGAGAUCAACUUUUUUUUUUUUAAUAGAAAAUGCUACUUUUUAUAGUAGAUUCUAAAAAAUCAUUCAAUUCUGCGUAGAAAAUUUGUAAGACGUGUAUGGUUUAAGCCCAAUAGUUUACAAGUUAUUUAACGAUAAAAAAUACAACUUCGCUAAUUUCUAUUAAGAAUGAUGCGCGCACGAACUUACCAUUAGCGUUUCAAGUUCCUCUUACUGGCUUACUUCUGAUUUUAAAAUUUAAAUACGUCUACACACAGUAAAAUAUAUUCAUUGAUAGUUCCCACAUUUAAUUCUUUUCGAGUCGAAUAAAUGUCUAUUUUAUUUUUGACGUAAGAAGAGCUCACUGGUUUCAUGCAAUGGAUACGAAUAAAUAUUCAUCGAUAUAGAAAGACAUCUCUCUUAUUUGGACAGUGUACAUUAUUUUCAAUUUACACAAUUCUUUAUAGACAAAAUCAAAAUCGCCACUAAAUCUGUGAUUGAAAAAUAAUCGAAGCUCAUCGGUAUAAAAAAAAGGAUCCGCUUUCUUUGGAAUCUUAAUAUAAUGUAAUAUGUUUAUAUAUGUAUAUAUAUGUAUAUAAUAUUGGCGCGCAAAUACUAUUAAUAACAGGAAGAGACGCAGAAACGUGUAAACAGGGAAAUUACGUGUGGAAAAUUAUGUACGUGUAUUAAACGGCAUGCUGCUGCCUUUUCUGCUGCGAUACGUAACAAAAAUACACACUUUCGGCAAAACUUGCUUUGAACAUUGAUCGUGCGUCGUUGCGAGAUAAUUCGAGAAGAGUAAAGCUACAAUUGGCUGAUUUUCUUUCAUUUACAACAGUAGUAAUUACCGUCUGUCCAGUAUAUAACAUUAAUUGCACAUAGCGAAUACUGAAUGUUCCUGAUGAAACUUAUAUAUUACUAUUAGCUAAACCUAACUACGCUAAACAAAAGGUAAAUGUAGAAAAUAAAAUUAUGAACAUUAUAAAGUUCCUCACUGUGGUAAUCGA